CCCUUAGAUGUUCUGAACCGCACGCGUGUUACACUGAUGCAUUCAACGAGCUUUACCUUGGCCGAGAGGCCUGGGAAAUCUUUUUAGCAUGCAUCGUGAUAGGGAUUGAUUAUUGCAAUUAUUAAUCAUGAACGAGGAAUUCCUAGUAAACGCAUUUCAUCAAAAUGCAUUGAUUACGUCCCUGCCCUUUGUACACACCGCCCGUCGCUCCUACCGAUUGAGUAUACCGGUGAAUUAUUCGGAUUCAGGUUUUGAGUGUCCGCACUCUGAGCAGGGAGAAGAAUCGUAAGCCAUGAUACUUAGAGGAAGGAGAAGUCGUAACA
rnacentral:rRNA from 1 species